rnacentral:hammerhead_ribozyme from 1 species
CUACUGCUGAAGAGUCCCAAACUAGGACGAAACAGCUGUCCAGUAC